rnacentral:misc_RNA from 1 species
UUCUUCAAUGAUAACUUGCUUGAAUAUCAUACUUUUGAACAAGUAUAAUCACUUCUUUGCCUACAUCAUUCUAAGUUAUUCAAGAAGUGGCCCUCUAGCUUAAUUGAUUGGUUUUGUCUCAACUCUUUUAUUUAGGAUUAUUGUGAUCUUCUGCAUUUGCAAAGCAUGUCUUGGAGUUAUGUUUUUAGUCCUUAAGUGAUUUAUAGUAGCCAUCAUAUAGCUUCAUUUGUUGAAGAGCUUGUUUUGUACUUAUGUUGCUUUCAUGAAUGUCUAUAGUUCUUCUUGUUCAGUUUUUAUUUCUGUAUUUCAUCAACAAUUAUCUGAAAUUUCUUAUUCCCAUUUUUGUUGCAUGUGA